UUUUGAACUGGCCUAAUUGCUAUGCUUUCUGAAUCAAAUUUCGUUCAAUCUUGGUGUCCCUCUUUUAUUCAAUAUAAGAAGAAUGAAAAAAGUAGGUUGUUUUUUACACAAGUGAUAGAAAUACUUCUUAACUUUAGACAGUGUAACACCAUACACAUCAAAGAAAUAAGACAACAAACCAUUUCCCAUGCAUAAAGCCAACAAAAUUACUAUUUAGUACAAGGGAUGCAACAUAAUUUUAAAUUUUAUUCCUCAAGAGCUACAAGUGAUACAAAUGAGUACACAAAUCAACCAUCUGUAGCUUAACCAGAAGAUGAUGCGAAUGCAUGAAAAUGAAAAAGCCUACGAAUAGUAUACAUGGUAAGUAUGACUAAGUAAAAUAACAAUUCUGAUUGAUAAUACCACCAGCAACAGGACCUUCAUACCUUCUCUUUAUUAAUCACUAGUUGGUAUACUAAAAUCAUCAUCAGUUGUAGGUUCCAGUGACUUAGAUAACUGGAAGUGAGCUGACAGAGGUGUUGAAACAGGCUUUGAAUCUUUCAUAUUGAACCUGGUUAACACCAUCUUCACAUAAUCCUCCUAAGACAGAUACAAAACUUUGGACUCUCUAUCUCUCUUUAUCUGCAUUCCCAGAAUCUUUGUAGCUGCACCCAAAUCCUUCAUUUCAAAUUCAGUGCUGAGCUCCACCUUAAGCUUCUUUACUUUUUCAUUUUGUUUACAUGCAAUAAGCAUGUCAUCCACAUACAUAAGUAAGUAGAUGCCACCACCAUUUGACAGGAAUUUAUAAUACACACAAUUAUCAAAUCUGCUUCUGCAGUAUCCAUGGCUUAGCAUAAACUCAUCAAACUUUAAAUACCAUUGCCUUGGAGAUUGCUUGAGGUCAUACAAGCUCUUCUUUAAUAAGCACACUUUGUCCUCUGAUCCUUUCUCAAUGAACCCUUCUGGCUGUGCCAUGAAAAUCUCUUCAUCAAGACUGCCAUGUAAGAAGGCAGUUUUAACAUCCGUCUGCUCCAGCUCCAGGUCAUGAUAUGCAGAGAAGGCCAACAGCAACCUAAUUGAGCUGUAUUUGACUACAGGUGAGAACACUUCAUUGAAGUCAACUCCCUCUCUUUGUGUGAAUCCCUUUGCCACAAGUCUGGCUUUAUGUCUUGGUGGUUCAUUCUCUGAAGCUCCAGCCUUCAACUUGAAAAUCCACUUGCUGCCAACUAGUUUCUUAUUAGAUGGUCUGUCCACUAAGAUCCAGGUAUUAUUCUUCUUUAAAGAGACUAUUUCAUCCUGCAUUGUAGCAUACCAUUUCAGCUUAUCCUCACAUCUCAUAGCUUCUUUAUAGCUCAAAGGCUCUCCACCAUUUACUUCAUCAGCUACUGUCAGUGCAUAGGAAAUGAGGUCAGCUAUGCCAUACUUCUUUGGCAUUUUGAUGGCUCUCCUCUCUCUGUCCCUAGCAAGCUGAUAUGUUUCCAGUUCUGAUGGUUGCUUUCUUUCCUUAGAAUGGUCUGAUGGUUGCUCAGAUGGCUUACAACUAUCAGAAUGCUUUAUGUUCUGUCCAGCACUUUCUUCUUCCUCUGUUUCAGCAGCUUCAAUCUCAGUUUCAACCUUUGACUGAAGCAUUUGCUCUUCAUCAAAGGUGACAUCCCUGCUGAUUAGUAUCCUAGAUGGUUUGCCAACGAGGGUCCAUAUUUUGUAUCCCUUAAUGCCUUCAGGAUAGCCUAAAAAAUACCCUUUGACAGCCCUUGGUUCCAGCUUACCUUGCUUUAUGUGUGCAUAGGCUGUGCACCCAAAGAUCCUCAGAUUACUCAAGUCUAGUGGCUUUCCAGACCAAAGCUCCUGAGGUGUCUUGAAGCCUAGAGCUAAGGAUGGGCUUCUGUUUAUCAAGUAGGCAGCUGUUGUGACUGCUUCUGCCCAAAAACCUUUGGAUAGGUUUGCAUUCAGCAGCAUGCACCUUACCCUCUCUAUUAUGGUUCUGUUCAUCUUUUCUGCCAACUCAUUUUGCUGUGGAGUGUAAGUGAUAGUUCUAUGCCUAGCAAUGCCCUUUAAUUUGCAGAAAUCUUCAAAUUCUUUGCUACAAUAUUCCAGUCCAUUGUCUGUCCUGAGUCUCUUUAUUUUCUUAUCAGUUUGGUUUUCAAUGAGUGUUAUCCACUCUUUAAACUUCCCUAGUGCUUCAUUUUUGUGUUUCAACACAUAAAUCCAAACCUUCCUAGAGAAGUCAUCUAUGAAGGACACAAAGUACCUAGCUCCACCUAGACAUAGCACUUAUGAAGGUCCCCAAAGGUCUGAGUGGAUGUAAUCUAAGGUAUGCUUGGUCUCUUUUCUCCUCAAACUGAAUUUCAGUCUUGUGGCCUUCCCAAAUACACAUUUCUCACAAAAUUUUAAGGAAGUGACUCUGUCAUUCCCAAGCAAGCCUUGAUUGCUUAACUCCCUUUCAUUACAAUUUUACCCUGAUCCAAGACCUGUAUCUCUCCAUUUUUAGCCUUAAUAGUACACCCUGAUUGGUCAACCAUUCCUAGAGAUAUCAAGUUUCUUUUCAGUUCAAGGACAAAUCUCACUUGGUGCAAGUCUCUAGUGACACCAUCAUGCAAUUUUAAGCUAAUGGUUCCUAUUCCAGCCACCUUGCAAGCUAGGUUAUUUCCCAACAAUACCUUUCCACCAUUUACACUUUCAAAGGUCUUAAAGAAACUUUUAUUUGGACACAUGUGGAAUGAGCAACCAGAGUCCAGAAUCCACUCACCAGUUGGGUGCCUUUCUGCAGCCACCAAGACAUCUGCUUCAUCGUAGUCACAUUCAUCUUCAGAGGCAACAGCAGUCUUCCCAUUUGAUUUCUUUUGCAGUUCUUCUAGUUUCUUUUUCUCAAAGCAAUCUUUAAUGUAGUGUCCCUCUUUCUGACAGAAGUAACACUUUCUCUUCUUCUUCUUCUUCUUUUCAGCUUUAUCUUUCUGGCUGUUGUUCUUUUUCUGCUUAUUGUGUUUCUUUUCUGGCUUUCCUUUGGCAACCAAACCUUCUGCAUUGUUUUGAUCUUUCAUGUCUGAUCUUUUCUUCAAAUCCUUGGAUUUCAGAGCAUCUUUGACAUCUUUCAAAGAGAGGGUUUGUCUGCCAUAGAUGAGGGUAUCUACAAAAUGUUCAUAAGAUUCUGGAAGAGAACUUAAGAGGAUGAGUGCCUUGUCUUCAUCUUCAAGAAUUAUGUUGACAUUCUCGAGAUCAAGAAUGAGUUUAUUAAACUCAUCCACGUGAUCUUUCAUGGCUACUCCAUCUUUCAUUGAGAAUGUGUACAAUCUCCUCUUCAUGUACAUCCUCUUUGCCAAUGAUUUCUUCAGAAACAUUUCUUCUAGUUUUGCCCAUAAACCAGCUGCAGUUCUUUCUUUGGAUACUUCUCUCAAGACUUCAUCAGAGAGAUGCAAGAUAAUGGUGCUAUGGGCCUUAUUGUUUAUGAUCCUCUGAUCUGCACCAAGGCUUGAAGAGCCUUCUGCCUUUUCUUUCUUGGCCAUCGGAUCUUCUCCAUCAUCGAGGGCACUGUCAAGCCCUUAUUGAAUAAGUAUUGCUCUCAUCUUCAAACUCCAGAGAUAAAAAUCAUUAUCUCCAUUGAACUUUUCAAGAUCAACUCUGGUGCUUGCCAUCUUUGAGUCUGAUCCCAACCAAUACCAGGCUCUGAUACCAGUUUGUUAUGGCAAACGUGUUUACUUCGCUUACUUGAACAAGAAUUAAGCAACCCACAAAACCAGAGUUUACAGAAACAACAUUAAGAAAAGAACAAAGAAGAACCAAGCAAUCAAAGAUUCACAACACACCAAGAAACUAACGUGGUUAAGCUCCACAAAGGAACCUACAUCCACGGCUGUAAAACCAGCAAGGGCAGAGGCUUUAUUGAACAACAAGAAGAAGAUGGUUUACAACUGAGUCACCAAUUACAGAUUAAAACCUAUCGAGUGUUUCCUCUCUGUAAAUUCUCUAUGAUUCUAUGUAUGUUUAGCUAGCUUAGAGACAGCUUAUAAAUGUAUGCUUCUCACGUGUGUUUCCACUUGCAAUGAGUCAGUCUGUUAUUUAACUAACUAACCAACUCUUGAUUUGGAUCCCACUUAUGCCAGGAAAUGUCUCUAAAGAUUUUUACUUUUCCGGUUAUUACACCUCCAAAUUUGCACAGCUAUAAUGUCAAUUCGUAUUUAUUUGUCUCGAGAUGAAGAUUUUCACUGGAGGAGAAUUAAUAAUUACGCUAUUUCGGCCCAGAGGACCAUGAAGCCCCUUGGGUUGUUGACAUUAACACUAGUGCGUUUACCAACCUAAACCUUCUGUUUGGUCAACAAUGUCUAAAUUGAACCUAUAGUAAAUGGAGGAAAAGGAAAAAAAAAGAUUUAUCAGAAACCUCCCCUGAGAUUUGGCGUAUUCUCAGUUUGAUAGCCUGUAUUUGUGUAUUCUCAAAUACCUCCCCCGAUGCUAGUAUACCUUUUCUUAAUACCCCUAAUUUAGAAAAAAAAAGAUAAUUUGUAUACUGAAAAUUAAAAAAAAUUGUUGGUUAGUACCAGCAUGUUUGUUUUGGUGCCAAGGGAUGUGAAUACAAUGAAAAUAUCAAAUCACCCCUGCUACUUUCCAAAAUGACUUUGAUGAAUGAAACAAACAAAAGAUUUAAGUCAAAUAUCAGAGAAUCAGAAGGAAGUUGUUUUGCACUGGCCUAAUUGCUAUGCAUUUUGCAUCAAAUUUCGUUCAAUCUUGGUGAAGAUCUUGGUGUUCCUCUUUUAUUCAAUAUAAGAAGAGUGAAAAAAAGUAGGUUGUUUUUUACACAAGUGAUAGAAAUACUUUUCGACUUUAGACAGCGUAACACUAUACACACAUCAAAGAAAUAACAUAAUGAACCAUUUCACAUACAUAAAGCCAACAAAAUUAGUAUUUAGUACAGGAGAUGCAACAAAAUUUUAAAUUUUAUUCCUCAAGGGCUACAAGUGAUACAAAUGAGUACACAAAUCAACCAUCUCUAGCUUAACAAAACGAUGAACGCAAAUACAUAAACAUGCAAAAAGUCUAUGAAUAGUAUACAUGGUAACUAUGACCAAGUAAAAUAACAAUUCUGAUUGAUAAUACCACCAGCAAUAGGACCUUCAUACCUUCUCUUUAUUAAUCACUAGUUGGUAUUCUAUAGC
rnacentral:lncRNA from 1 species